rnacentral:rRNA from 1 species
GACGAACGCUGGCGGCGUGCUUAACACAUGCAAGUCGAACGGUGAAGGGGUCUGCUUUUGUGGGCCCUGGAUGAGUGGCGAACGGGUGAGUAACACGUGAGUAACCUGCCCCCUUCUUCUGGAUAACCGCAUGAAAGUGUGGCUAAUACGGGAUAUUCUGGGUCUGUCGCAUGAUGGGUCUGGGAAAGAUUGCGCCUUUGGGUGUUUUUGGUGGGGGAUGGGCUCGCGGCCUAUCAGCUUGUUGGUGGGGUGAUGGCCUACCAAGGCGGUGACGGGUAGCCGGCCUGAGAGGGUGGACGGUCACACUGGGACUGAGACGCGGCCCAGACUCCUACGGGAGGCAGCAGUGGGGAAUAUUGCACAAUGGGCGCAAGCCUGAUGCAGCGACGCCGCGUGAGGGAUGGAGGCCUUCGGGUUGUAAACCUCUUUCGCCAGUGAAGCAGGCCUGCUCCUUGUGGGUGGGUUGACGGUAGCUGGAUAAGAAGCGCCGGCUAACUACGUG